rnacentral:rRNA from 1 species
GUGGGGAAUAUUGGACAAUGGGCGCAAGCCUGAUCCAGCCAUGCCGCGUGAGUGAUGAAGGCCCUAGGGUUGUAAAGCUCUUUCACCGGAGAAGAUAAUGACGGUAUCCGGAGAAGAAGCCCCGGCUAACUUCGUGCCAGCAGCCGCGGUAAUACGAAGGGGGCUAGCGUUGUUCGGAAUUACUGGGCGUAAAGCGCACGUAGGCGGACAUUUAAGUCAGGGGUGAAAUCCCGGGGCUCAACCCCGGAACUGCCUUUGAUACUGGGUGUCUGGAGUAUGGAAGAGGUAAGUGGAAUUCCGAGUGUAGAGGUGAAAUUCGUAGAUAUUCGGGGGAACACCAGUGGCGAAGGCGGCUUACUGGUCCAUUACUGACGCUGAGGUGCGAAAGCGUGGGGAGCAAACAGGAUUAGAUACCCCGGUAGUCC